GAAUGGGUUUGGAUUUAUGGCGGGCCCGUCCCUGUGGGCCUCUCAUAGUGUCCCAUGCCAGAGCAAACUGUGGCCACGAACCAUUGCCUGACCUCUGCCUGUAGGUUGCGGGCACUGAAGCAGGUUGCACAGUG
rnacentral:snoRNA from 1 species